rnacentral:rRNA from 1 species
UACGUAGGGUGCGAGCGUUGUCCGGAAUUACUGGGCGUAAAGAGCUCGUAGGUGGUUUGUCGCGUUGUUCGUGAAAUCUCACGGCUUAACUGUGAGCGUGCGGGCGAUACGGGCAGACUGGAGUACUGCAGGGGAGACUGGAAUUCCUGGUGUAGCGGUGAAAUGCGCAGAUAUCAGGAGGAACACCGGUGGCGAAGGCGGGUCUCUGGGCAAUAACUGACGCUGAGGAGCGAAAGCGUGGGGAGCGAACAGG